rnacentral:rRNA from 1 species
GUACACACCGCCCGUCAAGCCACGGAAGCCGGGAGUACCCGAAGUCGUUGACCCAACCGCAAGGAGGGAGGCGACCACGGUAAGACUGGUGACUGGGACUAAGUCGUAACAAGGUAGCCGUAGGUGAACCUGCAGAAGGAUCA